rnacentral:tRNA from 1 species
GGUCGGCUGCGGCGUGGCGGGCUCGGUGCUCGCCGCCUUGCGCGCCUCGCGGGCGGCGUUCGCGAGCUCGGCCCGCAGCGUCCGCAUCGCGGAGUCGACCUC